UACGAAGGGGGCUAGCGUUGUUCGGAAUUACUGGGCGUAAAGCGCUCGCAGGCGGAUCGAUAAGUCAGGGGUGAAAUCCCGGGGCUCAACCUCGGAAUUGCCUUUGAUACUGUCAAUCUCGAGUCCGGGAGAGGUGAGUGGAAUUCCUAGUGUAGAGGUGAAAAUUCGUAGAUAUUAGGAAGAACACCAGUGGCGAAGGCGGCUCACUGGCCGGAACUGACGCUCAUGAGCGAAAGCGAUGGGAGCAA
rnacentral:rRNA from 1 species